ACGGGAGGCAGCAGUGAGGAAUAUUGGUCAAUGGACGAGAGUCUGAACCAGCCAAGUAGCGUGCAGGAUGACGGCCCUAUGGGUUGUAAACUGCUUUUGUACGGGAAUAAAGUGACCUACGUGUAGGUUUUUGCAUGUACCGUAAGAAUAAGGAUCGGCUAAUUCCGUGCCAGCAGCCGCGGUAAUACGGAAGAUCCGAGCGUUAUCCGGAUUUAUUGGGUUUAAAGGGAGCGUAGGCGGGCGUUUAAGUCAGUGGUCAAAGCGUGUGGCUCAACCAUACCACGCCAUUGAUACUGGAUGCCUUGAGUGCACAUAAGGAUGGUGGAAUUCAUGGUGUAGCGGUGAAAUGCUUAGAUAUCAUGAAGAACUCCGAUUGCGAAGGCAGCUGUCCGGGGUGUAACUGACGCUAAUGCUCGAAAGUGCGGGUAUCAAACAGGAUUAGAUACCCUGGUA
rnacentral:rRNA from 1 species